UUUCGGAGAGUUUGAUCCUGGCUCAGGACGAACGCUGGCGGCGUGCCUAAUACAUGCAAGUCGAGCGGAUUGAUGGGAGCUUGCUCCCUUAAAUCAGCGGCGGACGGGUGAGUAACACGUGGGUAACCUGCCUGUAAGACUGGGAUAACUCCGGGAAACCGGGGCUAAUACCGGAUAGUUCUUUUCCUCGCAUGAGGAAAAGUGGAAAGGCGGCUUCGGCUGCCACUUACAGAUGGACCCGCGGCGCAUUAGCUAGUUGGUGAGGUAACGGCUCACCAAGGCAACGAUGCGUAGCCGACCUGAGAGGGUGAUCGGCCACACUGGGACUGAGACACGGCCCAGACUCCUACGGGAGGCAGCAGUAGGGAA
rnacentral:rRNA from 1 species